rnacentral:rRNA from 1 species
AUGAGGGCACUUGAUGUGGUGCAUUCAAGGCAACUAUUUCACAGAAGACUGUUUCAUUCCAAUGAAGAUUGCCCUCCGAACCUUCAAAAAGUUCUUGAUGAAAUUUUAAAAAAAUGUGGUGGCUUACCUUUGGUGAUCAUUGGCAUAUCUGGUUUGUUGGCUAUCACGGAAAGAACAGAACAUAUGUGGAAUCAGGUGAAAGAUUCAAUUGGUCGUGCACUUGAAAGGAAUCCUGGUGUUGAAGCAAUGAUAAAGAUAUUGUCACUUAGCUACUUUGAUCUUCCUCCCCAUCUAAAAACAUGUCUCUUGUAUUUGAGUAUAUUUCCGGAAGAUUCUGUUAUUGAGAAGAGAGCCCUAAUAUGGAGAUGGGUUGCUGAGGGAUUCAUUCACAAAGAUGGCAGAUACACAACAUAUGAGUCAGGAGAGAGGUGUUUUAAUGAGCUCCUCAAUAGGAGUUUGAUCCAAGUUGCAUGCACAAAUGAAUAUGGUAAGGUGGAGAGCUGUCGAGUUCAUGACAUAAUUCUUGAUUUCAUCAUAUCGAAGUCCAUCGAAGUGAACUUUGUCACUUUAAUUGGUGUUCCGUAUAUAACUAGCAGGACGCAAAGCAAAGUUCGCCGGCUCUCUCUCCAAGUUGAUGAGGAAGGAAAUUCAAUAAGAAAGACUGGCAUGGUAUUGUCUCAUGUACGAUCACUCAAUGUGUUCGGUUAUUCCAUGGAAAUCCCUCCUCUGAGUGAGUUUGGGCAUUUGCGUGUUUUGGACCUUGAGCUUUGCAACCAAGUGGAAAACCACCAUCUAGCAAAUAUUGGGAGGUUGUUUCAGUUGAGGCAUCUCAACCUCAAAUGGACAGAAGUAAGUGAACUCCCAAAAGAAAUCAGCCAUCUACGUUGCUUAGAGAUGCUAGACAUAAGAGGCACUCAAUUACAAGAAUUACCAUCAACUAUUGUGAACCUCGAAAGAUUGGUGGAUGUGCUUCAUGAAAGUAGUGUUAAGUUUCCAAAUGGAAUUGAGAAGAUGCAAGCAUUAGAGAUGUUGGGAGAGGUCAAUGUCUAUAGGCAGCCAUUUAACUUCCCGCAAGAACUUGGACAGCUGCAGAACCUGAGGAAGCUGGUCCUCAAUUUUGAAGGUGCUUCCAUCUCUGUACAGGAACAUGAAGAGGAACAGUGCAAUAAAUCUAUUGCUUCUGCUCUUCGCAAACUAGGCACUCAAAACAUUCGUUCUCUAACUACUGUUUGUGGGGGGCGCUUCUUACAACAGGGAUCUUUGUGCCCUGUUCCGUUUAGCCUCCAGGAAUUCAUUAUGACCAAGGGCUCGCAUGUGGAGCAGGUUCCGGAAUGGGUGAGUUCCCUUGUAAACCUCCAGCUGUUGCCCCUAGAAGUGAACAAAUUCACGCAGGAAGAUCUACGGGUCCUUGGAAGCUACCGGAGUUGCUCAUUCUGGAAGUGGUCGGAAUGGGAAAGUAUAGCGAUACAAGUUUCACAGUUAGCGAUAAAGUUGGGUUCCGAUGCUUGA